AUUGAACGCUGGCGGCAGGCCUAACACAUGCAAGUCGAGCGGUAGCACAGAGAGCUUGCUCUCGGGUGACGAGCGGCGGACGGGUGAGUAAUGUCUGGGAAACUGCCUGAUGGAGGGGGAUAACUACUGGAAACGGUAGCUAAUACCGCAUAACGUCGCAAGACCAAAGUGGGGGACCUUCGGGCCUCAUGCCAUCAGAUGUGCCCAGAUGGGAUUAGCUGGUAGGUGGGGUAACGGCUCACCUAGGCGACGAUCCCUAGCUGGUCUGAGAGGAUGACCAGCCACACUGGAACUGAGACACGGUCCAGACUCCUACGGGAGGCAGCAGUGGGGAAUAUUGCACAAUGGGCGCAAGCCUGAUGCAGCCAUGCCGCGUGUGUGAAGAAGGCCUUCGGGUUGUAAAGCACUUUCAGCGGGGAGGAAGGCGAUAAGGUUAAUAACCUUGUCGAUUGACGUUACCCGCAGAAGAAGCACCGGCUAACUCCGUGCCAGCAGCCGCGGUAAUACGGAGGGUGCAAGCGUUAAUCGGAAUUACUGGGCGUAAAGCGCACGCAGGCGGUCUGUCAAGUCGGAUGUGAAAUCCCCGGGCUCAACCUGGGAACUGCAUUCGAAACUGGCAGGCUAGAGUCUUGUAGAGGGGGGUAGAAUUCCAGGUGUAGCGGUGAAAUGCGUAGAGAUCUGGAGGAAUACCGGUGGCGAAGGCGGCCCCCUGGACAAAGACUGACGCUCAGGUGCGAAAGCGUGGGGAGCAAACAGGAUUAGAUACCCUGGUAGUCCACGCUGUAAACGAUGUCGAUUUGGAGGUUGUGCCCUUGAGGCGUGGCUUCCGGAGCUAACGCGUUAAAUCGACCGCCUGGGGAGUACGGCCGCAAGGUUAAAACUCAAAUGAAUUGACGGGGGCCCGCACAAGCGGUGGAGCAUGUGGUUUAAUUCGAUGCAACGCGAAGAACCUUACCUGGUCUUGACAUCCACAGAACUUUCCAGAGAUGGAUUGGUGCCUUCGGGAACUGUGAGACAGGUGCUGCAUGGCUGUCGUCAGCUCGUGUUGUGAAAUGUUGGGUUAAGUCCCGCAACGAGCGCAACCCUUAUCCUUUGUUGCCAGCGGUUAGGCCGGGAACUCAAAGGAGACUGCCAGUGAUAAACUGGAGGAAGGUGGGGAUGACGUCAAGUCAUCAUGGCCCUUACGACCAGGGCUACACACGUGCUACAAUGGCAUAUACAAAGAGAAGCGACCUCGCGAGAGCAAGCGGACCUCAUAAAGUAUGUCGUAGUCCGGAUUGGAGUCCGCAACUCGACUCCAUGAAGUCGGAAUCGCUAGUAAUCGUAGAUCAGAAUGCUACGGUGAAUACGUUCCCGGGCCU
rnacentral:rRNA from 1 species